AUUGAACGCUGGCGGCAUGCCUUACACAUGCAAGUCGAGCGGCAGCGUGGGGGCAACCCUGGCGGCGAGCGGCGGACGGGUGAGUAAUACAUCGGAACGUGUCCUUUCGUGGGGGAUAACCAGUCGAAAGACUGGCUAAUACCGCAUGAGAUCUCACGAUGAAAGCGAGGGACCGCAAGGCCUCGCGCGAUUGGAGCGGCCGAUGUCGGAUUAGCUAGNGGCGGGGUAAAAGCCCACCAAGGCUACGAUCCGUAGCUGGUUUGAGAGAACGACCAGCCACACUGGGACUGAGACACGGCCCAGACUCCUACGGGAGGCAGCAGU
rnacentral:rRNA from 1 species